rnacentral:rRNA from 1 species
UACGUAGGGUGCAAGCGUUGUCCGGAAUUAUUGGGCGUAAAGAGCUCGUAGGCGGUCUGUCGCGUCGGCUGUGAAAACUCGGGGCUCAACUCCGAGCUUGCAGUCGAUACAGGCAGGCUAGAGUUCGGCAGGGGAGACUGGAAUUCCUGGUGUAGCGGUGAAAUGCGCAGAUAUCAGGAGGAACACCUGUGGCGAAAGCGGCUCACUGGACCAUAACUGACGCUGAUGCACGAAAGCUAGGGGAGCAAACAGG